rnacentral:lncRNA from 1 species
GUAGAAUCAAACAUGAAUCAUCAAUAAGGAUUGUGUCUUCCUGUGAUAAUCCCACGGUGUUUCUUCACACGGUUUAGACAUGCCCAACCUGUCAACGAGCUUCUUUCUAACCAAUCACAUCUGUUCCUCACUCUAUAUAAGCAGCAGAGAAACAUUUUGCCCUUCCAUGAGAUCCGAGGAGUACUACUGAGAAACACUGCAAGUCCUGAACCACACGAUUUCUCCAAACUCUUUGUGCAAGAAGUACAACAGAUACUUUACCCAACAGAGAGAGAGAGAUGGGAAGGAUUAUUUUGCUGCUGUUUUUGACAGCCACCCUGGCAGGGGUGUCACAGAGUGAGACGGGCUUGCUGAGACAGAAAAGACAGAUUUCUAAUUUCCCCUACCGAAAAAGAUCAGGUGGCCUCUGUCGUCAUGGUGGCACCUCUGUCCCUGCCCUGUCCGGAGAACACAUGUUCUGCUUAUGCACAGUUGGUUACGGUGGUAAACACUGUGAGUUAGGUAAGAAACACUCUUUUACAUUUAGACACUUAACAAUUACUGUACCUCUGACACUUUGAAUUGAUGGGGGGGAAGAAACCUUUUCUUGUUAAGAUUCUAUGUGACGUGUGUGUGUGUGUAUUGGACCAUUCACUGGAUCCAUCUAUCUGCUGGUGGGAGUACAGCUGUGCUCUCCACAUACAAACGACUGGACGCUCUAACACACACACACACACACACAGAGUGUGUGUGUGUGUGUGUGUGUGUGUGUGUGUGUGUGUGUGUGUGUGUG